UGCUAAUUGCCUGAGCUGGUGAUCUUCCUGCCUCAGCCUCCCAGAGUUCUGGGAUGACAGGCGGGAGCCACUGCAUUCUCUAUUCUGUGUCCUGUUUGCUCGUUUCUCAUGGAGGGUUCUGGGAAAAGUUCUCAGCCGCUCGGGACUCUGACGCACCAGGAUCUAGCCAGGAGCUGGGAUGGAAGACUCCAGAAUCGUCAGGGCCAGGUUCCCCCACCAGGGCUCUGUGGUGCUGGCGUCUGUGUUGGGGAGACAGGCUCCAGUGUUACCCACGGAGGCCCUGCAGUGACCCCAGGGGAGCAGCUGCUGACGGCUGCGUUCUCCCACUGUGGCCAGGCUGAAGGCCCUGUCCCUCAAAUUGGGACACAGGCGAGUGAGCGUGCCAGGCCGGGCUGGCGCUGGCGGUCUCCUGGGACUUGUCCCAAGCAGAGCUCAGAGUCCCUCCGUUUGCCGGUGCCCCUUCCACCCCACCACAGAGCCGACUGCUGCCCAGGGCGGCAGGGCAGACCCCCACCUUCCCACCUGCAGAGCCCGUGUCCUCUGGGUGCCCUGUGCUGCCGACGCCCAUCUGAGUAUGGGCCUGUGGGGCCCGGUCCCCUGCAUCUCGCUUGAGGAGGGGUCAGCCACAGGGCCGCUGUGGACUGGAGGACCGUGGACUGGACUGUGCUCCACUCCGGCCUCCGAGGCACAGGGGGUGGGUUGGCAGGGGUGGGGAAUGCAAGUGGAGGUGGGAGCCGACACUGAGGCUUCGCGUGGGCCGCGAGUCUGUAGUCUGCAUCCGUGCUCCCUGUCUGUCACCAGAGAUGGCACACGGCACACGCACCCUCUGUCCCUCUCUCAGAGGGUGAGCUGGACGUGAAGACCCACGCCUGUCAACCCCUGCACUCAGGAGGCUGAGGCUUGUGUCAUACGUAGUUUGAAGAAGAGCAUCAUGGAUGUGUUGACUGGGCUACGACAGCCCAGUAGCAAUGGCUACUGGCCAUUUGGUGUGGGGGUUGUUUUCUUGUUGUGUUCUUUUGAGACAAGGCCUUGCUGUGUGGUCCAGGCUGGCCUCAAACCUCCCGCAGUCCUCCUGGCUCAGCCUCCCAAGCACUGGGAUAACAGGUGUGCGCCAUUCACACCUGCCAGCCACAGACUGUUUGAAGUGCAGGGUUGCAGUUCCCCUGAGAGGUCAGGUUACAAGAGCAUUGGAAGGUAGCAGCUGUGAGAGGGAUGAGUCACCAUGAGGGAGGGGGACAUUCUAGGUGGGGGAGGCUGAGGCAGAGGGGUCCCCUCCCCACUGGGAGAGCUCUUCCCUGGUCUGGCGGACGGGUGGUGGGGCCUCACACAGGAUCAGAGUUGAAUUCCUCCUCCACUUCCAGGCCACUGACCUGUGUGCCUCACCUGGCCUUGGGACAGUGGAAGAGGGUGGACAGGCGAGUGAACCCGGGUGUGGGGCAGGACUGCCGCCGAGCUCUUGGCCCUUAUGAGCCCACCAGGAGAGCUUGGGGAGCAAAAGCCAGGCCUGUGCCCCAGCACGCGGGAAGAAGGGUCACUGUGGGUGCUGCCGUAGCCCUUCCUGCUGUGUGCUUGCUGGUGGUGAGCCCUCCUGCCCGCCUGUCCGCCUGGAGCUCCCGUCUCCGCCCUGCCUAUCCUGGAGGCAGAGGCCACCGCCAGGCGGCACCCAGCACUCUCAGGCUGCUCCCUCGCCCAGGCAGCUCCAGUGCCCAGCACCAGGGAGCCGCCCUCCAAGCCCAUCCUGUGGACAGGGACCAGAUCGUUGGCCAGCAGCAGCCACAGGCUGUCAGGUUUCUCCUUCCUCGCUCUCCUUCCGCGUCCUUGUUCUGUUUUAGGGGUGGCCAUCGACACAGCAGAGGGUGCUGAGUGAGGCCCUUCUGCCCCCGGAAGGGCUGCUAGAGGCCUGCUGGGGUCUCCGGCCAGCACCCUCCCCUAGCAAGUCAGCCUCACCGCCCGGGCCCAGGCCGUGCCUUCUGCUGGCCCUGGCUCCGCCUCUAGGCUCUCCCUCCUCGCAAGCAGUGAACCACAACUCUCAGUGGGGUCAGGACCACAGUGUGCCAGGCCCUGCCCUCUGCUCCCUGACCCCCAGGCCACUGCCUGCCGGGGCGUCCUGGCCCUGGGGGGCAGCUGAGGGCUCCCCACACACAGCUCGGCCCCGUGGCCCACCAGGCCGACCUACAGGGGCUCUGCGCGCCGCUGGGGGAGCCAGUGGCUUCUGUGUCCUGCCUGGGCAGAGGCCGGCCCGGAAGGCGCGGCAAGGACCACAGGGGCGACGGAGCAGGAGGCCGUGGUCCCCACGCGGGCCGCCUCCCGCCUGCCUGGUCACUGCGCCCCACCUUCGGUCGCCUCCGUGCGGCGCCCCGCUCCUCCGACGCCUCCCUUCCCACGGCUCGGCGAGCCAUUACUCUGCAGACAGAAAUGGGUUUGCUAUUGAUUCCUAAGCCACUUUUUGAUUGCAAUCUGUGCUGUGGCUUUUCUCGCCCUUCCCAGCCUCGCUUGUGUCUUUAGAUGCCGCUGCUGCCAGAAGCCGAGCCGGGCCGUUCUGCCUCCUCUCCACGCGGGGCUAAGCUGGGUUUGGAAGUCGAGCCGCUGUGUGCACAGCCCUGCUCUGGACCCCUGCAAGGCCUUUCUGUGCCAUCCUGUUAAGUUUCACAAUUAACCGUGGCUCGAGAAGUAUAAAUAAAGCCUGCCCACCUGGCCCGAGUGAGCUUUGUCAUCCCAGCCUUCAACUCCAACUUCACCCUGGACCUGGAGCUGAACCAUCACCUCCUGUCCUCCGAGUACGUGGAGCGGCACUUCAGCCGGCAAGGGACGGCACAGCACAGCACCGUGAGUCCUGGGAAGGGCCGGGGGGCCGCUCCAGCCUCCCUAGCUCGGAGGCCCCGGUCAGUCGGGAGCCUGAGGCUGAGGCCCUCGGGCAUGCGGACGAUGAGGACAGGCCCUGUGUGCUGAGCCAGCUGUGUCCCCCCAAUCUAACCACCCUCGCCGGGAAUUAAGAUGCAGGCCACACGGGUCCCUGCCACCAGGGCCAGCACCUGGACGGGGAUGAGUGAGUCUCCUCACCCGAGGGACAGGAAGGCCAGGCGGCGCCUGCUGCAGCAGGUGCCCAGGACAGCCA